rnacentral:rRNA from 13 species
CGAGCGGCUGACUGGUGAGUAAUGUCUGGGAAACUGCCUGAUGGAGGGGGAUAACUACUGGAAACGGUAGCUAAUACCGCAUACCGUCGCAAGACCAAAGUGGGGGACCUUCGGGCCUCAUGCCAUCAGAUGUGCCCAGAUGGGAUUAGCUAGUAGGUGGGGUAACGGCUCACCUAGGCGACGAUCCCUAGCUGGUCUGAGAGGAUGACCAGCCACACUGGAACUGAGACACGGUCCAGACUCCUACGGGAGGCAGCAGUGGGGAAUAUUGCACAAUGGGCGCAAGCCUGAUGCAGCCAUGCCGCGUGUGUGAAGAAGGCCUUCGGGUUGUAAAGCACUUUCAGCGGGGAGGAAGGCGAUAAGGUUAAUAACCUCAUAGAUUGACGUUACCCG